GUCCACGCCGUAAACGAUGAGUGCUAAGUGUUGGAGGGUUUCCGCCCUUCAGUGCUGCAGCUAACGCAUUAAGCACUCCGCCUGGGGAGUACGACCGCAAGGUUGAAACUCAAAGGAAUUGACGGGGGCCCGCACAAGCGGUGGAGCAUGUGGUUUAAUUCGAAGCAACGCGAAGAACCUUACCAGGUCUUGACAUCCUUUGACCACUCUAGAGAUAGAGCUUUCCCUCGGGGACAAAGUGACAGGUGGUGCAUGGUUGUCGU
rnacentral:rRNA from 1 species